GAUGAACGCUGGCGGCGUGCUUAACACAUGCAAGUCGAACGGAAAGGCCCAAGCUUGCUUGGGUACUCGAGUGGCGAACGGGUGAGUAACACGUGGGUGAUCUGCCCUGCACUUCGGGAUAAGCCUGGGAAACUGGGUCUAAUACCGGAUAGGACCACUUCUUGGAUGUUGUGGUGGAAAGUUUUUUCGGUGUGGGAUGAGCUCGCGUCCUAUCAGCUUGUUGGUGGGGUAAUGGCCUACCAAGGCGUCGACGGGUAGCCGGCCUGAGAGGGUGUACGGCCACAUUGGGACUGAGAUACGGCCCAGACUCCUACGGGAGGGAGCAGAGGGGAAUAUUGCACAAGGGGAGCAAGCCUGAUGCGGCGACGCAGCGUGGGGGAUGACGGCCUUCGGGUUGUAAACUACUUUCGCUAGGGAAGAAGCGUUUUGUGACGGUACCUGGAGAAGAAGCACCGGCUAACUACGUG
rnacentral:rRNA from 1 species